rnacentral:rRNA from 1 species
GAUGAACGCUAGCGGCAGGCUUAACACAUGCAAGUCGAGGGGUAUAGUUAGCUUGCUAACUAGAGACCGGCGCACGGGUGCGUAACGCGUAUGCAAUCUACCUUUUACAGAGGGAUAGCCCAGAGAAAUUUGGAUUAAUACCUCAUAGUAUCUUUGCCUGGCAUCAGGUGAUUAUUAAAGUUCCAACGGUAAAAGAUGAGCAUGCGUCCUAUUAGCUAGAUGGUAAGGUAACGGCUUACCAUGGCAACGAUAGGUAGGGGUCCUGAGAGGGAGAUCCCCCACACCGGUACUGAGACACGGACCAGACUCCUACGGGAGGCAGCAGUGAGGAAUAUUGGACAAUGGGCGCAAGCCUGAUCCAGCCAUGCCGCGUGCAGGAAGAAGCAUCUAUGGUGUGUAAACUGCUUUUGUACGGGAAGAAACACUCCCUCGUGAGGGAGCUUGACGGUACCGUAAGAAUAAGGAUCGGCUAACUCCGUGCCAGCCGCCGCGGUAACAC